rnacentral:lncRNA from 1 species
GAGCGCUCGGGGUUCGACCCCCGAGCACGGCGGGAGGAGGGCGCCCCCCUGCGGCACAGCCACGUCCACGAAGCCCCUCCCGGGGUUCUAGAAAGCGGAGGCCUCCGAAGGAAAGACCAAGAUGCAGAGAGAUGUCUAAAAGGUGCCAGAAGGUGACUAUCCAGCCCUGGUAUCACUGCCUGGUGAUUUCGUUUCUUUGAUCUUCACGAAUGGCCUCACUGGCUGUGAUUUGGACAGAAAUCAGCUGCCACGUGCAACAUUCUCCCAUGGGAACAUGUGUCCGCAGUACCUAUCUCAGAGCCCAAAUCCUUCCUGCCCCACAGCCUUCUCCUGGAACCUGCCUUGGAUUGGCAGCUUUGCAUAACAAACACCACUCCUGAGCUGCCCAGCAUGGGGAGAAAGAAGAGACCGCCUGAGCCUCACCCUUUGCUGGCCAGCUGUGUUGACUUACUACAGCUGACUUCUCUGAGCCGGAGCUUCCUCGUCUGCACAAGGGAGACGACAGCUGGGCCUGACUCCCAGGUUUAUGAUAAGGAUUAGAGGAGCAUUAGCAAGGGCAAUGUUUGUAGUAGAGACAGGCAAACAGAAGACUCUCAGUACAUGGUAUUGUACUAAUGGUAUCUAACCCCAUUAGACUCAGACACUGAAGGAAAUGCAGUAAAGCACACACAGCUGAUUGACAAAAAUGCAAUGACAUUGUACAGAUUUGAAAAUAUUAGC